rnacentral:lncRNA from 1 species
UCGUAUAAAGGUGAGAUUCACCAUACUCUCUUAUGAGAAAAAAAUAAUGUGAAAAUAUCAAAAUAGUGCUCCCCUUUAAAAUAUUGUUUUGACAUUAUCUAAAAUUUAGGGGAUUCAGUUAUUAUGGUAAGUUGGUCAAUUGACCAAUACAGUGCUAAUACGCAGGGAGAGAGAUCACCUCCCGACCUGCGUAUCGAUAUUGUAUUGGCCAAUUGAUCAAAAUUAAUUUCAUACUAACCACUCCCGAAAUUUAGGUUACUAUUAGAAGGAAAAGUUUACGAAAAUGGUUAAAAAGAGCUUUGCCUAGUUAAGAAAGAGAUUUCAUUACUUGAUUAUGACAUUUGGUCUAACUAUGAUGAUAAAACAUUGUUGCGAAAAAGUAAAUACAAAAUGAUAUGUUAAAUUAAAAUUUAAUAUACAUGGGUGAGUCUAAUUAACAAAUCAUUUGUAUUUUAUUUUGUAAUUAUUUUUUAGUUACUAAAACAAAUCAUUAUUAACUUUUGAAUUAUAAACAAAUAACUUCGAUUACUUGAUCAAUUUUUAAAGACGUUAUUUUUUGUGAUACCUUAUGGAUUGACUUCUUAGUCUGUUCGGAAAUGACUUAUAAGUUGGUCAAACUAAUUUAUAAGUCAUUUGUUACUAUUCUCCUAUUUGAGAAUGACUUAUUUUUCUACUUAUAAGUUGAGUUUUAAGUCAAAAAGAAUAAGUAAGUAUUUAUAACUUAUUUUAAAAUGACUUAUAAGUAUUUUUCACUUAUCUUAAGUUAGUUUGACCAAAUGUAAUGUUUAUUUUGCCACUCUUCUAUUUUGUCCCUCUUUUUAUUAAUGUUCUUUUUAGUAAUCUUCCAUUUGAUUUUAACUUAUAAGUCAUUAUGAACCGAACACCUUCCUAAUUUAUUUUAAAUUAAUCUCUAACUUAUAAAUCAAAUUGAUGCCGGACACUUUUACU